rnacentral:rRNA from 1 species
AGCGAACGCUGGCGGCAGGCUUAACACAUGCAAGUCGAGCGGGCAUCCUUGUGGUGUCAGCGGCAGACGGGUGAGUAACGCGUGGGAACGUGCCCUUCGGUUCGGAAUAACUCAGGGAAACUUGAGCUAAUACCGGAUACGUGCGAGAGCAGAAAGGUUUAUCUGCCGAAGGGUCGGCCCGCGUCUGAUUAGCUAGUUGGUGAGGUUAUGGCUCACCAAGGCGACGAUCAGUAGCUGGUCUGAGAGGAUGAUCAGCCACACUGGGACUGAGACACGGCCCAGACUCCUACGGGAGGCAGCAGUGGGGAAUAUUGGACAAUGGGGGCAACCCUGAUCCAGCCAUGCCGCGUGAGUGAUGACGGCCUUAGGGUUGUAAAGCUCUUUUCUCCGGGACGAUAAUGACGGUACCGGAGGAAUAAGCCCCGGCUAACUUCGUG